AACUGAUACUACCUGCGGGAACCUGCGGAAGGAUCAUUACCGAGUGAGGGCCCUCUGGGUCCAACCUCCCACCCGUGUUUAUCGUACCUUGUUGCUUCGGCGGGCCCGCCUCACGGCCGCCGGGGGGCACCUGCCCCCGGGCCCGCGCCCGCCGAAGACAUCAUUGAACUCUGUCUGAAGAUUGCAGUCUGAGUAGAUUAGCUAAAUCAGUUAAAACUUUUAGCAACGGAUCUCUAGAUC
rnacentral:misc_RNA from 1 species